rnacentral:rRNA from 1 species
AGGACGACGCUGGCGGCGUGGAUUAGGCAUGCAAGUCGGACGGUAGGGCUUUAUCGUAAGAUAGAGUUUGAGAGUGGCGAACGGGUGAGUAACACGUAGGAAUCUACCCUUAAGACGGGACAACCCAGGGAAACUUGGGCUAAUACCGGAUGAGAGUGCGAGAGAUUGCAUUUAAAAGGAUGGCGAAAGUUAUCGCUUAGGGAUGAGCCUGCGGUCUAUUAGUUAGUUGGUGGGGUAAGAGCUCACCAAGGCGAUGAUAGAUAGGCGGCCUUAACGGGUGGUCGCCCACACUGGGAUUGAGAUACGGCCCAGACUCCUACGGGAGGCAGCAGUCGAGAAUAGUCUACAAUGGCCGGAAGGCUGAUAGUGCGACGCCGCGUGAACGAGGGAGCCCUUCGGGGUGUAAAGUUCUUUUCUAUACGAGCAGUGCUAUAUAUAUGGAUAGUAUAUAUAGAGGGAUAGUAGUAUAGGAAUAAGCAACGGCUAACUCCGUG